UGAAAGGCUACUCGGCAGGCAGAACCAGAACCCAGACAUCAGAACCACACAGCCAUCGUCAUGGUUUAGCAAUAAAGAUGCAUGCAGCCCCGUGCAAACCAGCAAACCCAAGUACUUCAAGAAAAUGAUCACUGUUAAGAACGCGAGAGUAAGAAACGCCUUUUUCUUUGCCUGAUCGACCCGUUUCCUGUCCCCGAGUGCGUCCCCCGGCCCGGGGCGAAUGAGUGCGACGAGAACUGAGUGGCUGCAGUAGGUUAUGAUUGACAACCCGAUGGCGAAGAACAGGAAGAAGGGGAUGGUGGGUAAUGAGGUGGUAAAAACCAUCAUAAGAAGCAGCAUUAAAGAGCAUGACAGCCAAAUGCAGCCGAUGCAGGUGUUUCUGACAUUGAUGCCCUUCUCUGAUUUCAUUUUCAGGUAGGUGACCGGGUGGAUGACCGCCAGGUACUGCUCCACACAGGUGAGGCACUGAAAAAACAGCCGCCCAAGACAAACCACAAACAAAAUAUACACCCCCGCUUUCAUCAUGUAUUGCUUUUGGGCGAAGUUGCCGUGACAGUAAAACACGCUUCCAAGCAAACCGAUG